rnacentral:rRNA from 1 species
UAGGGAAUCUUCCGCAAUGGACGAAAGUCUGACGGAGCAACGCCGCGUGAGUGAAGAAGGAUUUCGGUUCGUAAAACUCUGUUGUUAGGGAAGAAAAAAUGUAUAGUAACUAUAUACAAAAGAGACGGUACCUAACCAGAAAGCCACGGCUAACUACGUGCCAGCAGCCGCGGUAAUACGUAGGUGGCAAGCGUUGUCCGGAAUUAUUGGGCGUAAAGCGCGCGCAGGUGGUUUAGAAAGUCUGAUGUGAAAGCCCACGGCUCAACCGUGGAGGGUCAUUGGAAACUAAUAAACUUGAGUGCAGGAGAGAAAAGUGGAAUUCCUAGUGUAGCGGUGAAAUGCGUAGAGAUUAGGAGGAACACCGGUGGCGAAAGCGGCUUUUUGGCCUGCAACUGACACUGAGGCCCGAAAGCGUGGGUAGCAAACAGG